rnacentral:rRNA from 1 species
AGGACGAACGCUGGCGGCGUGCUUAACACAUGCAAGUCGAACGGUGAAGCCCUUCGGGGUGGAUCAGUGGCGAACGGGUGAGUAACACGUGAGCAAUCUGCCCUUGACUCUGGGAUAACUUCGGGAAAACCGGAGCUAAUACCGGAUAUGACACAUAAUCGCAUGGUUUGUGUGUGGAAAGAUUUAUUGGUCAGGGAUGAGCUCGCGGCCUAUCAGCUUGUUGGUGGGGUAAUGGCCUACCAAGGCGACGACGGGUA